GCCCCAGCUGUGUUUCCCUCCUGUUAUUCAUUCCCUGAUUGCUCCCUCUUUGUAUUUAAGCCCUGUGUUUCUCUGUGUCCGUGUCGUGAUCUACCGUUUAUUUUGCUGUGUGUUUUGCCAGUCCACCGGUGUUAGUUUAUUUUCAGUUUUUCCCAGUUAUGUUAUGUUUGCGUUCAGCAUUAAAGCUGUUUUGGUUUAAGUUUGUCUCCGGAGUCUGCACCUUGGGUCCUAUUCCUGUUUGCACACAGCCGUCACAUACCACAUUCAGUCUGUGGAAGACUGUAAGGCUGUAAGUGAUCUGAGGGUCUUCUGAAUCGCUCUUUGUCUGGUCCCUCACCCAGGACCAAUUUGCCAUGGGAGACCCUACCAGGGGUAAAAGCCCCCAGACAACAUAGCCCCUGGGAUCCCUGGGACACACAAACCCCUCCACCACGAUAAGGUAGCGAUUCAAGGAGGACCACUUAGUGAUUUUUGUCAUAACACAAACAAGUCGUCAAGUCAAGCAGUUGAGGAAAGGGCUUAAGGAAACCAUGGUAUGGCCGCUUCUGACAGAAAGAUCAGACAUCAUUCUUCUUUUCUUACCAAGGGAAUCAGAGACUGCUCCCUGUUGUGAGUCAAUCUGUUGUAAAGUUGUUGCUGUGUCUGUGUCAUUCUCCUGCUGCAUGACACAGUGUGGGCCAAGCUAUACAGAGGACUUCAUGGUCGACUCAGUGACUGUAAGGUGCCCAGCAUCACGUGGAAGGGUUCGCUGCCAUGUGAAUCUGGAAGGGUUCUGAGAAGGACAAAGAUGGUGUGUAGGACUUGAGGCUAUCAUUUGCUGAAGGGGCC
ensembl:lncRNA